rnacentral:rRNA from 1 species
GAUGAACGCUGGCGGCGUGCCUAAUACAUGCAAGUCGAGCGAACAGACGAGGAGCUUGCUCCUCUGACGUUAGCGGCGGACGGGUGAGUAACACGUGGAUAACCUACCUAUAAGACUGGGAUAACUUCGGGAAACCGGAGCUAAUACCGGAUAAUAUAUUGAACCGCAUGGUUCAAUAGUGAAAGACGGUUUUGCUGUCACUUAUAGAUGGAUCCGCGCCGCAUUAGCUAGUUGGUAAGUUAACGGCUUACCAAGGCAACGAUGCGUAGCCGACCUGAGGGGGGGAUCGGCCACACGGGAACUGAGACACGGUCCAGACUCCUACGGGAGGCAGCAGUAGGGAAUCUUCCGCAAUGGGCGAAAGCUUGACGGAGCAACGCCGCGUGAGUGAUGAAGGUCUUCGGAUCGUAAAACUCUGUUAUUAGGGAAGAACAAAUGUGUAAGUAACUAUGCACGUCGUGACGGUACCUAAUCAGAAAGCCACGGCUAACUACGUG